AACUGUUUUACAUCAUCUCCUUCCACUUCCUAUUUAAUUUUGUCUUUGUCUCAUCUCUUUAACUUCCCAAGAAUCAUAGCUUCGAAUCACAACCUACUCCCUCACUGUUUACAUGUCCGAUACCAAAGAUAAUCCAAUAGCUCACUUGUCUCAUCUCUUAACUUUCCAUGGCCGACUAAACCUUCAAUUUUCUACUUCUCAACCACAAUUAUCAAGUUUUCAAUUCACAAAACACUGUAAAAUUUAGUGCUUUGAGUCAGAAAGUUCACAAAAUUCAGUCUUUUCACACUCAAAGAACCUUCAACAUGUUUAGCAGCCACAUAACCAGAAGCCAAAACCACAAUUUCUUCUCUUUUGAACAUGGUAAAGCUUUAGCUUUCAGUGAUUGCAAGCACAGUAACUUGAAGCUAGGUUAUAUUAAUGCUGCACAGGGGGCAAAAUUCAGACUCAGAAAGGAAAAAUACAAUUGUUUAUCUGGGGAUAUGUUACAUAUAUCAACUUUCGAUAGUUAUGGGAAACAAAAGAGGAAUAGGGACUUUGUUUUGAUGGCGAAAUCAGCUUUGAAUGUAGAGAAUAUGGAGUUGGAGGGAAAUGAGGUAGUAAGUAGGGAAACAAAUAAGUAUGAUGCAAUUGUUAUAGGGUCAGGAAUUGGAGGCUUGGUUGCAGCCACGCAGCUGGCAGUUAAAGGAGCUAGGGUUUUGGUGUUGGAGAAGUAUGUGAUUCCUGGUGGAAGUUCGGGUUAUUACCAGAGAGAUGGGUAUACUUUUGAUGUUGGAUCUUCUGUGAUGUUUGGUUUCAGUGAUAAGGGCAACCUAAAUUUGAUAACCCAAGCUCUAGCUGCGGUUGGCUGUGAGAUGGAGGUUAUACCUGAUCCAACUACAGUCCAUUUCCAUCUACCCAAUGAGCUUUCUGUACGAGUGCAUAGGGAAUACAGUGAUUUUAUUGCAGAGCUCACCAGUAAAUUUCCUCAUGAAAAGGAAGGAAUUCUCUCAUUCUAUGGAGAAUGUUGGAAGAUCUUCAAUGCCUUGAAUUCAUUGGAACUAAAGUCACUUGAAGAGCCAAUCUACCUUUUUGGGCAGUUCUUUCAAAAGCCUCUCGAAUGCUUGACAUUAGCCUAUUAUUUGCCCCAAAAUGCUGGACAUAUAGCUCGGAAGUACAUAAAAGAUCCCCAGCUGUUGUCAUUCAUUGAUGCAGAGUGUUUUAUAGUGAGCACAGUAAAUGCUUUGCAGACACCAAUGAUCAAUGCUAGCAUGGUUCUUUGUGACAGGCAUUUUGGAGGGAUUAACUACCCUGUUGGUGGUGUUGGUGGAAUUGCAAAGUCCUUGGCAAAUGGCCUGGUUGAUCAGGGCAGUGAAAUACUCUACAAGGCACAUGUAACAGGCAUUGUACUUGAGGAUGGAAAGGCUGUAGGGGUGAGGCUAUCAGAUGGAAGGGAGUUUUUUGCCAAAACAAUAAUCUCCAAUGCUACUAGAUGGGAUACAUUUGGGAAGCUAUUGAAAGGAGAAAAACUUCCGAAGGAAGAAGAAAAUUUUCAAAAAGUUUAUGUCAAGGCUCCUUCUUUUCUUUCCAUUCACAUGGGUGUUAAAGCUGAGGUUCUGCCACCCGAUACAGAUUGUCAUCAUUUUGUGCUUGAGGAUUGCUGGACAAGAUUAGAGGAACCUUAUGGAAGUAUAUUUUUAAGCAUACCAACUGUUCUUGAUUCAUCACUUGCUCCUGAGGGGCGCCAUAUCCUUCACAUAUUUACAACUUCUUCCAUAGAAGAUUGGCAGGGAAUGUCUCAAAAGGACUAUGAUGCAAAGAAGGAACUUGUGGCAGAUGAAAUAAUUGGCAGAUUGGAGAAAAAAUUGUUUCCUGGGCUUAGGAAGUCCAUUGUUUUUAAGGAGGUAUAAUUCACGCGCACAUAAUGGUUGGGACACCUAAAACACACAGGAGGUACCUGGCUCGAGAUAAGGGUACCUAUGGACCAAUGCCUCGUGGAACUCCUAAGGGCUUAUUAGGAAUGCCAUUUAAUACAACUGGUAUAGACAAUCUUUACUGUGUUGGAGAUAGUUGCUUUCCAGGACAAGGCGUUAUAGCUGUUGCUUUUUCAGGAGUAAUGUGUGCUCACCGAGUCGCAGCAGAUAUUGGGCUUGAGAAGAAGGCUCCUGUAUUGGAUGCUGCCCUUCUCAGAUUACUUAGUUGGUUAAGGACAUUGGCUUGAGAUAUCCUACGGGAAAUACAACGAUUCAACUUGAUUGUUACACGAGACAAAUAUUUGCUUGGUUCCUCGAUACAACUGUGGAUAUUAAGCAAUAUUGACUCAUUGAAUCAUGUCUUUUAUACUUGUAAGGCUGUAAAUAAUUAUACAAAAAGCUUUUGAGUGAUCUACAUGAUGAUCUAUAUAUUGAUUUUGUUGCUUACUUGGUUCAUGUUUAUAAAAAAAUUGAUGUCAUA